GAGGAAGUAGUUCAACGGAAGAAUAUCCGGUUCCUAACCGGAUGGGUACAAGUUCGACUCUUGUCUUCCUCC
rnacentral:tRNA from 1 species